ACUUGAAGCUGGUAUCUCCCUGGGAUUCCCAAUAUGUGAGACAAUAAAUCACCCAUUUUGCUUAAGAAAUUUCCACUGAGUUCUGAUCUACACACCCCCUUUGUUCCUUAGAGCAUGAGGGCUUUCCCCAAGGUGGCCCCCUUCUCCCCUGGCCCAGGAGCCUUGGUUGGCAUCCAGCCCCACACUAGAUCCGUGACCUUCUGCCAGGGAGGCAGGUCCUCUGUUUGAGCUGUGAUUGGAGCUUACAACAGGAGGAAACAACUUGUAUAAAGUGUCUACUGUGUGCCAGAAGGAAGAGGGUGUUUCGAGGAGGAAGAACAUGGGUGUGCUUCCGGGGCAACAUGAUGUCACAGAAAUGUUAAAAAGGAGGCAACUGGCCCCAAACGGAGUCACUGGUGCUAAACCCACAUCACCAAACUGCAGCUUAAAACAGACGUGGGCAAAGAUGCACUGCUUCUGAGGGAGACAGACACAGCCAUCAACAACCCCCAGGAGGCCAAUGCUGCACGCAGUGAAGGAACCCGCACAAGGAACAGCAAAGUGCAAUGGCCGAUAAAGCACAAUAAACAGGUUUGCUGCAUUUGCUGACCUAGAAAGAUAGCCGCAAUACGGUAAAAAAAAAAACAAAAACUGGUCCCGUUUUAGAAAAAAAAAAUAGCUAUAGACAUACGUAUAUAUAUAGAGAUGUAUUUGAACAAACAGAAAAACAGCUUACAAAGUUAAAUAACAAAUUAUUUGACUAGAAUGUAAAAAUUGGCAUUUCAUUUUCAUUUCUUUGAAGAUUAGGGAGGUUGACUGUUUUUUUUUAAGUUGGCCAAUUGUGUUUCCUCUUGUGUGAGUUGCUGAAAUAUUACUGCUCCUUGAUCUUCUGUCACAAGCAAAUAGUGGAAAAUUCUGGCACCAUGUGUCAUAAAGAGAGUUUCUGUUUAGAAUUCCAGUGCUUCCAUUAUGAUGGUAUCUUGGAAAAGAGGGUGCUGAACUUGAAGCGGAGGGCUCCAGUCUUAAUGUGAUGAAUUAUCCUGGGAGAUAAAGAGUUCAGAAAAAUAAAGGAGGAUGUUUCCUGCACAAAGCAUUACUCCUGUUUCUUCCCUUCUUUUAAUUCUAGGAUGGUAUUAUAAAGUAUGUUGUUGGGUUCUUGGUGAAUAGUGUGAAACUGGGGGUGGUUUUGAUGUUUGAAAGGAAGAGUGACGGGAAUGAAAGACUGACCACCAAGGCCAAGGU